rnacentral:rRNA from 1 species
GAUGAACGCUGGCGGCGUGCCUAAUACAUGCAAGUCGAGCGAACAGACGAGGAGCUUGCUCCUUCGACGUUAGCGGCGGACGGGUGAGUAACACGUAGGUAACCUACCUAUAAGACUGGGAUAACUUCGGGAAACCGGAGCUAAUACCGGAUAAUAUUUCGAACCGCAUGGUUCGAUAGUGAAAGAUGGCUUUGCUAUCACUUAUAGAUGGACCUGCGCCGUAUUAGCUAGUUGGUAAGGUAACGGCUUACCAAGGCAACGAUACGUAGCCGACCUGAGAGGGUGGUCGGCCACACUGGAACUGAGACACGGUCCAGGCUCCUACGGGAGGCAGCAGUAGGGAAUCUUCCGCAAUGGGCGAAAGCCUGACGGAGCAACGCCGCGUGAGUGAUGAAGGUCUUCGGAUCGUAAAACUCUGUUAUUAGGGAAGAACAAACGUGUAAGUAACUGUGCACGUCUUGACGGUACCUAAUCAGAAAGCCACGGCUAACUACGUG